UCCCUUUUCCGGAGGCUAAUGCCCAAACUGGGGUAAUUCUAAAGCUAAUACCUGCACCACAGUCCGACCUUACGGGAAGACGCAUUUAUUCGAACAAAACCAAGCGGCUUCGGCCGUCCGCAGUGACUCAGAAUAACUAAGCUGAUCGCAUGGCUUGAACCGGCGACGUGUCUUUCAGGAUGUGCCUUAAAACUUUCGAUGGAGUGUAUCUGACUACCAUGGGGUGACGGGUAACGGAGGAUAAGGGUCGACUCCGAAGGGGCCUGAGAAUGGCCACUACGCUAAGGAUGCAGCGGGCCGCAAUUACCCCUCUCAGAAU
rnacentral:rRNA from 1 species